GUAGAUCAAAACGGUUAAAACUCAAACUGUAUAUAAACUGCAUGUGACGGACAUAGCAUCAAGAAAAUUUAGCAGCUGAGUAAGAAGAGUUUCCAUCAGGCAAAACAGAAUAUAAGAUGAAGAUUGCUAUGUUGCUAUGUUGUACUAUCCUUAUUGCGAAUAUUUCGGCAGAGCUUGCCACUACACCAGAUGGAAAAAUGGAUCUUAAUGCUGAACGGAAAUGCCCGAAUGAUCUGGAAUGGAAUGACUGCGGCCCGUGUCCAGCAGCCUGUGAGGACGCCCGAUGCGAUACUGAAAUGCCCUGCAUAUCUGGUUGCUUCUGUCCUAAGGGGAAGCUUAAAUACAAGAAUACAUGUAUAGACGCUGACGCUUGUCCUAUAUGAAGAUGACAAAGUUCCAUAAUAUUCAGUUAGACUUAUGAUGACAAACUGAUCUUCUAUUUUGUUUUGUUCACUUUAAUCACAAAUAGUAGUAACUAAUUAAGCUAUUUUAGCGUUUUAGAAAUUUGCCCUUGAAAUAAAUGCAUUAAGAAAUGAA